CCAUACUGUGCCAGCAGGCUGGGUUUGCACUGCGGCACUUUGCUUAGAGCAUCCCGCCGACUUCAGGCCUCCUCCUUCUCCUGGCCCUGGCAGCAUGACUUGCAGCUUUUCCUAAAACUGGCAAGCAGCCUCCUGCUUGAAGACGGGCAGAGCGUUAACCCCUUCCCGCCUCUUCUCCUCCUCGUCCCCCAGCGGUGGGAAGGACAGCAUUCCACCCCAACAGCCCCAGUGAUGGGACACGGCAGUACCUGCAGCUCCAGGCUUCCAGGGCUGAGGAAUCUCUGCAGGUACAACAGCCUCCGGGGUGAAAUGCAUCACAGCUGAGAACCCACCCAUCAGCUUUGCACUCCUGGUGCUGCAGCCAGAGAUGAGUGCAGCCACUAGGUAGGGACUAGGAGGGGACAGUCACGGAGAAGGGGGAGAGGAGGAGGACAAGGAGGAGGAGGAGAAAGGGGGCUGCCAUGAGGAAGGAGCCCGAAGCACUGUGCCUGCUCUCAGCUACUCCUGCAGAAGUGAAUCCCACUCCCUUCAGAUUACUGGGAGAUAAAUUUAGAGUAGAUCUGAAAAGUAAUUUAGAGACCUAAAAAUACCUCUCUAUCAAGAGACUGGAAAACCAGGAGAGAGGAGGAAGGGGGAAAAGUGACUGUGGGCCAGAGAAAACAGCAAUAAGCAAUGACUGGAUCAGGCAGCCAGGGGAACAACUCGGCAACUCUGGGGCAGGGCUAACCCCAUUCCUCUGCCCCUCAUGAUGCUCUGAUUCUCACCAGCCAGGAACAGAUCCAUGACAUGGGAGGAGGAUGCUGCAGACGCUCCCUGAGCUGAGCAGGAGCUGCAGGAAGGAGAUAAAGGCGCUCAGCUCGCCUCGUGCCCUGCUUUCAUAAUCUCUGCUUUUUAAUAUCCUGUUGAGACACAGGUGCCCCACCUGCCUAGCAGCAGAAUUCCCAUUGAUACAGCCUUGCUGGGGAGCUGGCUGUAGGGCUCCCGGCCCCACAAACACCCCUCCCUCCUCACAGCAUGCCUCCGGUUUCCCUGUGCCAUGUAGCAUCCUCCUUUACCCAAGCUGAGAUGCAAUGGGUCUUGGGGACCCCACAGUGUGCAGGAUAGGAAGGGUGCCCUGGGCAUCUCCCACCUGGAUGGCAUUGUAAAUUAAUUUAAGUGCCACCACAAGCAUUCCAGCAUCCUGCAACACUCCAUGGGCACUGCAGUGCUCCCUCCUGGCAGAAGUCCCUGCUGCUGGAGGGAGGCAGGUGUCUGACGGUGCAUGGGAGCAAGGAGGCAUGCAGUGCUUGUCUCCUAUU
rnacentral:lncRNA from 1 species